UACGGGAGGCAGCAGUGGGGAAUAUUGCACAAUGGGCGAAAGCCUGAUGCAGCCAUGCCGCGUGUGUGAAGAAGGCUCUAGGGUUGUAAAGCACUUUCAGUGGGGAGGAAAAGUUCAAAACUAAUACUUUUGAACCUUGACGUUACCUGCAGAAGAAGCACCGGCAAACUCCGUGCCAGCAGCCGCGGUAAUAC
rnacentral:rRNA from 1 species